UACGGGGGGGGCAAGCGUUGUUCGGAAUUACUGGGCGUAAAGGGCUCGUAGGCGGCCAACUAAGUCAGACGUGAAAUCCCUCGGCUUAACCGGGGAACUGCGUCUGAUACUGGAUGGCUUGAGGUUGGGAGAGGGAUGCGGAAUUCCAGGUGUAGCGGUGAAAUGCGUAGAUAUCUGGAGGAACACCGGUGGCGAAGGCGGCAUCCUGGACCAUUACUGACGCUGAGGAGCGAAAGCCAGGGGAGCAAACGGG
rnacentral:rRNA from 1 species